GCUGCCACCUCUCUUGACUCCCUUGUGAGGAGAUCGGCUCUUGCUCCUCCUCAUGCCAUGACUCUUUAAUUUGCGGCUGGUCGACAUGCCAUUGUGACAAGGCACCAUCAAUCAUCAUGUCCCUUUACCAGGAGGGCCCGUGUCAUAAGCCACUAUAUAAAGGGAAUGAUGGGUGGACUGCUUUGGACAAAUGGACCUGCGGUAGGAGAGAGGGACAACAGUAGGAGCAGGCAGAUCUUGCUGUUUCAACCAAAACCUCAUGCUGACCAGAGUUGAGGAACAGAAGAAGAUGGUGAAGGCCUGCAGGUAUAGGUGUUCAGCAUGUCAUCUGAAAUAUUCCCCACAGAGGCAAAAAGAAAGGAAAUUAUCUCUGAAAAGGAAUGGGAGGACAAGUCAGCAGAAUAUGUCAAUGUUUUGGUUGAAGAAGCUGCUUGAAUCUGGGCUUUUCUGUGCCAUGUGUUCUCCCAGGGCCAGCACAAAGAAGGGCUUUUGGUGCAGGCCCAAGACCACCAUAAUCAUCAUUGAUUAUUCCUCUCCACGCCAGUGUCUCUAAAUAAACUUUCUCUUCUUUCUCUGACAAA
rnacentral:lncRNA from 1 species